rnacentral:rRNA from 1 species
GCAGAGAUGCUUUGGUGCCUUCGGGAACUCUGAGACAGGUGCUGCAUGGCUGUCGUCAGCUCGUGUUGUGAAAUGUUGGGUUAAGUCCCGCAACGAGCGCAACCCUUAUCCUUUGUUGCCAGCGGUUCGGCCGGGAACUCAAAGGAGACUGCCAGUGAUAAACUGGAGGAAGGUGGGGAUGACGUCAAGUCAUCAUGGCCCUUACGAGUAGGGCUACACACGUGCUACAAUGGCGUAUACAAAGAGAAGCGACCUCGCGAGAGCAAGCGGACCUCAUAAAGUACGUCGUAGUCCGGAUUGGAGUCUGCAACUCGACUCCAUGAAGUCGGAAUCGCUAGUAAUCGUAGAUCAGAAUGCUACGGUGAAUACGUUCCCGGG